GAUGAACGCUGGCGGCGUGUUUAACACAUGCAAGUCGAACGAAGCGCUUAAACGGAUUUCUUCGGAAUGAAGUUUUUGCGACUGAGUGGCGGACGGGUGAGUAACGCGUGGGUAACCUGCCUCAUACAGGGGGAUAACAGUUAGAAAUGACUGCUAAUACCGCAUAAGCGCACAGUGCUGCAUGGCACAGUGUGAAAAACUCCGGUGGUAUGAGAUGGACCCGCGUCUGAUUAGCUAGUUGGUGGGGUAACGGCCUACCCAGGCGACGAUCAGUAGCCGGCCUGAGAGGGUGAACGGCCACAUUGGGACUGAGACACGGCCCAAACUCCUACGGGAGGCAGCAGUGGGGAAUAUUGCACAAUGGGGGAAACCCUGAUGCAGCGACGCCGCGUGAGCGAAGAAGUAUUUCGGUAUGUAAAGCUCUAUCAGCAGGGAAGAAAAUGACGGUACCUGACUAAGAAGCACCGGCUAAAUACGUGCCAGCAGCCGCGGUAAUACGUAUGGUGCAAGCGUUAUCCGGAUUUACUGGGUGUAAAGGAAGCGUAGACGGUUGUGUAAGUCUGAUGUGAAAGCCCGGGGCUCAACCCCGGGACUGCAUUGGAAACUAUGUAACUAGAGUGUCGGAGAGGUAAGCGGAAUUCCUAGUGUAGCGGUGAAAUGCGUAGAUAUUAGGAGGAACACCAGUGGCGAAGGCGGCUUACUGGACGAUCACUGACGUUGAGGCUCGAAAGCGUGGGGAGCANACAGG
rnacentral:rRNA from 1 species